UUCCAGACUCCUACGGGAGGCAGCAGUGGGGAAUAUUGCACAAUGGGGGGAACCCUGAUGCAGCGACGCCGCGUGAAGGAAGAAGUAUUUCGGUAUGUAAACUUCUAUCAGCAGGGAAGAAAAUGACGGUACCUGACUAAGAAGCCCCGGCUAACUACGUGCCAGCAGCCGCGGUAAUACGUAGGGGGCAAGCGUUAUCCGGAUUUACUGGGUGUAAAGGGAGCGUAGGCGGCGAUGCAAGUCAGAAGUGAAAGCCCGGGGCUCAACUCCGGGACUGCUUUGGAAACUGUAUGGCUGGAGUGCAGGAGAGGUAAGUGGAAUUCCUAGUGUAGCGGUGAAAUGCGUAGAUAUUAGGAGGAACACCAGUGGCGAAGGCGGCUUACUGGACUGUAACUGACGUUGAGGCUCGAAAGCGUGGGGAGCAAACAGGAUUAGAUACCCUGGUA
rnacentral:rRNA from 1 species